ACUCAAAUGAAUAGACGGGGACCCGCACAAGCGGUGGAACAUGUGGUUUAAUUCGAGGCAACGCGAAGAACCUUACCAGGGCUUGACAUGCUCUCUAUGGAUUCCUGAAAGGGAGUCCUUCACCUCGGGUGGGAGAUGCACAGGUGCUGCAUGGCUGUCGUCAGCUCGUGUCGUGAGAUGUUGGGUUAAGUCCCGCAACGAGCGCAACCCUCAUCCUCUGUUGCUAACAGGUAAUGCUGAGAACUCUGAGGAAACUGCCGGUGAUAAGCCGGAGGAAGGUGGGGAUGACGUCAAGUCCUCAUGGCCCUUACGCCCUGGGCUACACACGUGUUACAAUGGCAGUGACAAUCGGAUGCUACCUCGCGAGAGGAUGCCAACCUGAAAAAGCUGCCUCAGUUCGGAUUGUACUCUGCAACUCGAGUACAUGAAGUCGGAAUCGCUAGUAAUCGCUGAUCAGCACGCAGCGGUGAAUACGUUCCCGGGUCUUGCACACACCGCCCGU
rnacentral:rRNA from 1 species